UACGUAGGGGGCAAGCGUUGUCCGGAUUUAUUGGGCGUAAAGAGCGUGUAGGCGGCCACGCAGGUCCGUUGUGAAAACUGGAGGCUCAACCUUCAGACGUCGACGGAAACCGUAUGGCUAGAGUCCGGAAGAGGAGAGUGGAAUUCCUGGUGUAGCGGUGAAAUGCGCAGAUAUCAGGAAGAACACCAAUGGCGAAGGCAGCUCUCUGGGACGGUACUGACGCUGAGGCGCGAAAGCGUGGGGAGCGAACAGG
rnacentral:rRNA from 1 species